GUAGGUGGCAAGCGUUGUCCGGAAUUAUUGGGCGUAAAGCGCGCGCAGGCGGUUCUUUAAGUCUGAUGUGAAAGCCCACGGCUCAACCGUGAAGGGUCAUUGGAAACUGGAGAACUUGAGUACAGAAGAGGAAAGCGGAAUUCCACGUGUAGCGGUGAAAUGCGUAGAGAUGUGGAGGAACACCAGUGGCGAAGGCGGCUUUCUGGUCUGUAACUGACGCUGAGGCGCGAAAGCGUGGGGAGCAAACAGGGAUUAGAUACCCUAGUAGUCCACGCCGUAAACGAUGAGUGCUAAGUGUUAGGGGGGGUUUCCGCCCCCCUUAGUGCUGCAGCUAACGCAUUAAGCACUCCGCCUGGGGAUACGGCCGCAAGGCUG
rnacentral:rRNA from 1 species